GUAGAGGUAAAAGUUUCCUUCUACAUCUAUGCCAUCCUUUUUUUCCCUAAUAAAAGCUAGAAUGUUCAUCUUUGUUUUUCCUGAUACAGUCAAUUUUAACUUUUUGAUAGAAAAGGGAAAGGGGUUUAGAGUUCUUGCCCUUUUGUAUAAUCAGUUCUAGCUCUAAUUGGUGGGAAAGAUAACCAAUGGAGAAUGUAUGUGUUGAUGCUAUUCUCUUUUUCUUGAUUGCACUAAUAAAUCUUUGGGGGGUUCCGCAAUAAGGUUGAUGACAUCCUUGCUCUAACGUGCAAAGGCGCAAUCUCAUUUCUAUUCAACUUUCAUCCUAAAAGAGAAAGGGGUUAAACUCAAGGAAAUAAUCCUAGAGGUGCAACGAUUCCCUAGGGAAAGUGAUGGCCAUUUGGCCCAUAAGUUGGGUAGUGGGGGCAAGGGGGAUGAGUGUCUAUUAUCAACAGUAUCACUAUCUCUACUAGGUAGGGAUAAAGUCUGCGUACAUUCCUCGCCAGACUCUACUUGUGGAAUUACACUAGGUAUUUUAUUAUUGUUGUUGUUACAACUGGGGUGUUUUGUACAGCAUUCAACAAUGAUUGACAUCAUCCUUCUCGAAAAGAUACCCCGAGAAGUAAAGGAGAAGGAGUGCUUUAAUGGCUGGUCACGUAUCUGAUGAGGGUCAGCUUCCCAGCAAAUUGAAGCCAAAAAAAUCAAAAUUUUUGUGGUACUGCUUGGAUCUGCACAAAACAGCUUACGCAUUAUCCUUCUUUUAGCACAAAUGGAAUUUCAAUAACUGUUUGUUCCUUCACUAUAAUCAGGACUGAAGAAGAAAGUCACUUCCUAGGUUACUUGAAAGAUAUUUAUGAGAACAAGAAGGGAGAGAAAAGUGUUGGGGUGCAGUUGUUUCAACAUUUUCAGGAAGUCCAGUGUGUAAUUCCUGAGCUUGGGGGAUACCCAAGAGAAGUACUUAUCACGUCUCGUGCUCAGGUGAUGUAUGCCAAGUGUAUUGAUGCUCCUGCUGCAGUUUUAACUCCUGGAGAUUAUGAGAAGAAUAUUUCUCUUGUCCUAAAAAAUUUUUCCUCUAGUGUCUGUGCUCUAGGGAAUUCAGAAAAAUGAAGGUCAUGCCAUUCUCUCUAUGGGAACUGGAUGGAUACUAUAAUCAAACAAUAUUUUCCAUGUUGCAUAAUCCUAACGUGCAGCUUAAGUCAAAGGGUCAUAUGUUGCAUGAAGUAAGAGAUAUAACCUGAGUAGAUCCUUCAAAUGAACCUCAAUGUAAGCUGUCUUUUGAAGUUGGUGGCAACUUAGAGGUUCUUUGCCACGAAAGUGGCAUGAGAGGCUGUUGGUUCCGGUGUAAGGCCUUACAGUUAUCAGGGAAAUAUCUAAAAGUUCAAUAUGAUGACAUCCAGGAUUGUGGUGGUCUUGACAAGCUUGGGGUCUUAAUCACUGCAACUAUAAGUUUAUUUACUAUAUAACUUAUGAUCUACUUACAUAUAUUGACUUGUCUGUUCUCCCUUGACCCUAUUUCCUCAUCACUUUUUCUUGAUUUAUAGGAAUGGAUUCCCUCCUAUAGAAUCGCAGACUCUGAUAAAUUAGGCAUGAGAUACACAGGACACCUCAUUAUUCGGCCCCGGCAUCUGGUGGAUUCUUCUGACUAUUCUCUUGAAGUAAGGGCUGCAGUUGAUGCUUGGUGGUCUGACGGGUGGUGGGAAGGUGUUAUUGCUGAAAUUGAUGCCUACGGAAGAGGUCAUCUUCAGGUUUACUUCCCUGGUAAGAAAUAAUAGUUCCAAAGUGUACCCAAAAAAAUAAAAAGUUAAAAUAGAAAUAGAAAACAAGGAAUGAAAGGAGAAUUCUUGCUUA